UCUAUGAUUGGUGUCAAUCGC
rnacentral:siRNA from 1 species